GGAGAGAUGUCCGAGUGGUUGAAGGAGCACGAUUGGAAAUCGUGUAGGCGCUCAUACCGCCUCGUGGGUUCGAAUCCCACUCUCUCCGCCA
rnacentral:tRNA from 2 species